UGAUAGCGAUGAAGCGUGAGGUUGCUGCCGAAAUGGCAGGUUUUCCGUGGAGCGAAUGUCAAGUUAGGAAACUGACGACAA
rnacentral:ncRNA from 1 species